AUUGAACGCUGGCGGCAGGCCUAACACAUGCAAGUCGAACGAGUGGCGGACGGGUGAGUAAUGUCUGGGAAAAUGCCUGAUGGAGGGGGAUAACGACUGGAAACGGUAGCUAAUACCGCAUACCAUCGGAUGUGCCCAGAUUGGAUUAGCUAGUAGGUGGGGUAAAGGUGCACCUAGGCGACGAUCCCUAGCUGGUCUGCGAGGAGGACGGGCAACACGGGAACUGAGACACGGUCCCGACUCCGACGGGAGGCAGCAGUGGGGAAUAUUGCACAAUGGGCGCAAGCCUGAUGCAGCCAUGCCGCGUGUAUGAAGAAGGCCUUCGGGUUGUAAAGUACUUUCAGCGGGGAGGCGUUACCCGCAGAAGAAGCACCGGCUAACUCCGUGCCAGCCGCCGCGGUAAUUC
rnacentral:rRNA from 1 species